AUGUCAAAAAAUACUUGGGAAUUGAAAGUGAAUUUCGGCCAUGUACUCAAAAAAUUACGCGUAACUGGCAAGCAGAUCCUAACUAAUGUCACCUAAUGCACAACGAUGCGCUUCAUUAGCGAAAUAUCCAGCCUAAUGUCCAUUAAGCACCUUCCAAUUGAGCCCAAAAGAAAAGUGCAUUAAGUAUUUUGUAAUAUUUAAUGUUCGUCGAAAAGGUCGGCCCCACCUUAGUUGGCAAAACUUCGCAACCAUGUCCAGCAAUCGCACCCGAAACGUGCUGCUGCUCCUGGUCUUACCUGGCAUCUCGUUUAGAAAAAUUGCUCACGCACGGUGUCGUUUUGGAUGGUUGGCGGUGUUUCGGGGCUGGGCAGAAGGAGGAUUUUAAGUGCUGGCAGUUCUGUGGUCUGGCUUGCUCCUGAUUUUGUUUACCAUUUACCGUUCAACAUUUUCUGCUGUGUAUCGUUCGUCGCCUAAGCGCAUUAAAAGUUUUCUUCUUU